GUACAUAAGUGCUUGCGCACGACAAUAAUUUCAUUACAUUCGAGUGGGUGUAAAAAUCCUCUGCCAGCCGAAGCUAGCAAGAGGCCAAAGGUUCACAGGGUGUUGGAUGAAAGUCACCGACGUGCACUUGCCAAAGCCGAAGCCGGCCAGCACUGAAGGCAACCAUUCGCAAUCAUUAAUGAUCCUUCCGCAGGUUCACCUACGGAAA
rnacentral:misc_RNA from 1 species